UGCACCCUCCGAAAGUCGGGUCUUGAAAGAGGAGAUGAUGAAUCUAAACCAACGUGUGGAGGGCUUGAGACAGUACCUGCUGGAAGAAGCUAAGAAAAAUCAGUUUCAACAGGUUGAGAGAACAAGUCCUUCGGGACCUGAUGGAGUACAUCAUAAAUAACUAUUACAUAUAUAUGUAUGUAUGACCUUGUUCGUAUCUUUCUCCUUCUCUCUCUCUAGAAAUGGAGAAAAAAUAAUCAAAAUGUGGGUUCUUUUUUUAGUUGAAUAAAAGAAGGGACAUAAGACACCCAUUGUUGUAUGCUUGUGAAGA
rnacentral:lncRNA from 1 species